GAAAAAGUCACGUAAACAAGAAAUUGUUAGUGAUAGAUUUUGAGAGUUUGUUUGUAAUUAAUUUUAAAUUUGUAGGAGUGCUUAUUAAUAUAAUGCAUAGUCUUUAGUAACAUUAGAUCAGUCGAAGUUUAAAAUUAAUUAAACCAACAGAAAUGUAAUUCUUAUCAAUUAUGGACAUGUCUGCGCAUUUGCAUGUAUCUAAAUUUUAUACUGUGGUCGAAUACUUUCCGUUGCGUAUUCAUUCUUCUCUGGAUGUCAUUGCAAGGAAUAUGUGAUCUGUUCAGAACUAAGUAUAUGUUACAAACAUGCUAAACAGUUGGUUUGUUUGGCACAUGACUCAUAUAUUCCUCCAAGUCAAUUCGGGCGGGCCUGGGCAGAAAGUGGUGAUUAUAUUUUGACCUUUUAAUGGUGAUUGCAACUGAACUUACUUUCGAGUUCAGUCUCUGCCCCAUCCAGAAUCACGCUGUUUAGGAGUGCAACCAGUAUUUAAAAGAUCAAGGGUUAGCAAUCUUGUAGUGAUGCAUAAAUUGUAUUUGACGAAUGAUGGUAUACGGAGUGGUCAAAUCUUCUCUCUCUAAUUCGUUUUGUUCGUGCCCAAAAAAAAGAGUGAGGGAUGAUAAAUGGGAACCUGGAUAACAUUUUGGAAAUGCGGCACUUGUAAUGUUCGUGGGGAAAAAAGAAUCUAAAUCUAUAUGUAAUUUCUUGUUUUAAGGCUAGUAUGGAUAAAUAACAAGGCAUUCGAAUUCGCAAUCU